GACGAACCGUGCGAACGUUGUUCGGAUUCACUGGGCUUAAAGGGCUCGUAGGCGGCCAACUAAGUCACACGUGAAAUCCCUCGGCUCAACCGGGGAACUGCGUGUGAGACUGGAUGGCUUGAGUUUGGGAGAGGAAUGCGGAAUUCCAGGUGUAGCGGUGAAAUGCGUAGAUAUCUGGAGGAACACCGGUGGCGAAGGCGGCAUUCUGGACCAAUACUGACGCUGAGGAGCGAAAGCCAGGGGAGCGAACGGG
rnacentral:rRNA from 1 species